rnacentral:lncRNA from 1 species
GCUUACUUCGAAUAUUCUUUCGUGUCGCAGACAUCUUAUUGUGCUAUGUAUGCUGUACCAUUUGGUGUUAAAAUUGUGUAUUGUCCUUUACGAUAACUAGGUAAGCUCCCUUGAUAAUUAUCGUUCUUAGAAUCAAGUGCGCAUGCGUGAGAUUAACGCCCACACUUCCGGGGAUUAUCCGUGUGCAUGACCUUUGACUUGCUCUGUGUAAACAUUGAGAUAAAAAAGAUAACAAUGAACGUAUCAGUUGAUCAAAUACGGAAACAACGGAAAUAUUGUUGUAUAUGUAAGGGAGAAUAUAGAGGACAAUUUGUUGAUGGAAGAGUUGUAUCUUUACACCGGUUUCCACAAAAUAAACGACUGAAACGUGUUUGGAUUCAAAGGUGCAGAACAGUCAUGAGAACCUUUGUGUGGAACGAACAUAGACGACUAUGCAGUACACACUUUGUUGGAUAUCGUGGGCCAUCGUUAGAACAUACAUUACCGUCCUUAUUCCCGACAGAAAAUGGAAGUACUAAAGAAUUUACUUCACCGAAACUGGAUGAAAAUCAGAUGGUGAUGGAGAUAGAUGAUAAUGAGGGUAUGAUGGGCGAAACAGCCAGUGCAACAAUAUCCAAGAUGAAAGCCGAUCUACAUCUGACUCGGACGGCCACAUCACUGUUCAUGAUGCAGGGACGAUGAUGGACGUAUCUGUUUCCCUUCAUGAGUACUGUGCAAGUCCAGUGGUCAAAUCUAGGAAAACCGGGAUCAGAUCUUCUUAUGUUCAGACCUAUCCAGACUGCAAGAUGCAAGAAGUACAGACAGAUUUGGUUGAAGUAAAACCAUUGGUUGAUGCCUCAACACAAAUAGAACAUUUAACCGAGAAUAAGACAAGGGUGUUCAGUGUAGACUGCCAAAUUUAAUAUACCAUGAUGUUAAAAACAAUGAUGAUAUGGUGUGUUUUUAUACCGGUAUACCGAAUGCAAAAGUGUUUGAUGCUUUAUUUGACGAAAUUAGGGACGAGGCAGAAGAAAGGACAUCAAGGAGACAGUUGAAUUACAAUCCAACGCAAGGUGGAAGGCCACGUAUUCUGACAGUUAAUGAGUUUUUCAUGGUGCUGAUGAGAAUUCGAUUAAGGACUGUUACUGGAGGACCUCAGUUUUCGUUUUGGAAACUCGACUACACAUUGCAGUGACAUAUGCAAUCGAUGGAUUGAUUUCUUGGCAGUGCAGCUCUCAUUUUUGGUACAGUGGCCAUCAAUGGAUGUUAUUAAAAGGAACAUGCCAACAGUUUUUAAGGAAAUUUUUUUUUCCAAAAACACGUAUUAUAAUCGACUGUACAGAAAUAUACACAGAAACACUAAGUUCAUUGAAGUUGAAAUCUUUGAUGUACAGUGAUUACAAGUCUCAUAUGACAUAUAAGGCUCUUGUAGGAGUAAGUCCAAAUGGAGAAGUUACUUUCGUGUCAGACCUUUGGUGUGUAGCAUCAGUGACAAACAAAUUACAAAAGAAAGCGGAUUGUUAGAUUUAUGCAGCGAGAGGGAUGCAAUAAUGGCUGACAAAGGGUUUACAAUAUCAGAUUUAACAACGCCUAAGGGAAUAGAUUUGAUUAUUCCACCUUUCAAGAGAAAAAAACACAAGUUUGCGAAAAGGGAAGUCCUUCUCACAAAAGACAUUGCUACUUGCAGAAUUCACGUAGAAAGAGAAAUGGAACGAAUAAAAAACUUUAGAAUUCUUUUAGGUAAUAUUCCAAUUACAAUGGCAAGGUUUUUAAGAUUUGUACAUUCUUAACAAAUCUGCAGCCACCACUUGUGCAAAAUUGAUAGGAAUGAAAUAUUUCAUAGAACUGCUGUUAAGGUAGACUAGCUACUAGACUAUGAAAUAUAUUUUAAAUGUUUAUUUUCAAAAUUGUGAAUGUAGCUAGUCUAUGUCCUAUAUCAUAUAUGAUAAUAUAACAAACAGUUCUCAGUAAUAAUCACUAAAAUAGGCUUGCAUUUGUCACUAUCACAUAAAUAAAAAGUAAAAUUACGAAAGUUGAAAUUUUGUGACACAUUUUUAUUAUUUGUCUAGUGGCUAGUCUAAUUGUUAAGGCACAUAAUGUGGUAUUGUCUUUUCUCUUCUUCUAACCUGCAAAAAUCGCUUUUAGAAACAUCUUUCCUACCGUUUGCUUUUAUUAGUCAUACAAUGCUAUUUGGAUGCAAUAAAUCCCAGUUCUGUCAAAGGAAGCAUGAUUUUUUAGAACUUGUACAUAUUUGUAAAUACACAGAUUUUUUCCCCAUUGAACAUGACUUCGAAGUUGCUGACUUACUAAUUUCUGUUAGAGGGAAUCAGAAUUCAACUGGUUUAUAAAUGUAUAAUAGGUGAAACAAGCAGUGAUGAUUUUAAAUAUUUAUUUUGUUUACAAAGAGAUUUUUCAUUAACGACAACCACAUAUUUAAUGCAAUGAAAUAUGAUCACAUUUUAUAUACAAAUAAUUGACUAGUCUACCAUUUCUUCAUUUGUUUCCAUUUUUGUCAAAUAUUUCCGUAAUGAACAAUUUCUAUGUUUAUGUUUAUAUUAUACAUGUAUAUUAAAUAAAUUAAAUAACUACAAUAAUGACUUUUUUCAUUGUUAGUAACAAGCCUGUUUCUGUCAGAGCUACACACAAAAAACCCCAAGAAAUUACAGUUAAACGGUUUUGUUAAAACAAUUAAAAAGACUUGAAAUCAAAUUUUCCUUUGUAGUUGAAGGUAUAGGAUUUAAUGUCGUUAAUUUCCAUUUAACCCUUAGCAUGCCACAUGACUGACUCUGCCUUUGCACACAGUGUAGAUCAUGAUCAGCCUGCACAUCAGUACAGUCUGAUCAU